UUGAGAGGAAGAGAGAAAAGAGAAAAAAAAGAAACAUGCAAAGGAAGGCUAAGCUUUUAGGAGAAAAAUGUGGAGAAAUCAAGUGAGUUUCAUGGGAGAUCCGUCCAUUUAGAAGAGAAUGAAGAAAGAAUGGCUUGGUGAGGCUUCCAACCGAGAAAAAAAAAACAAACAGUGAGUGCAAAGGCAAGCUAAGUGAAAUUUCAGUUUGGGGGAGCCAAAGGAAACCGAGAGGUUUUCCCCCCCACCCACACUCCAUUGAUGAAGUUAAAGGAGAUUUGGUGAUUCGGUUUAAAAAUUCCAAGGAUCUACAAAGAUUCAAAGAACCCGAUGCAUGCAUGUGGAUUAAUCUUGGAAUGCAUGUUGAUUUUGGAGCUAGACAAGCUAUGGGUAAAUUUUUUAGUCUUGAAAUUACAAGUAAACAAGGAAAAUAAUAUGUAUAUUGAUUGCCUUUGUUUGUGGUAGCAAUGGUGACUAUGGAUGUGAGGAAAUUGUGAACUAUAUGUGUGGAACUAAAGCUAAAACUGAAAGAUAGUGAUUAGCUUAGCGUGCAAUCAUCGGUAAUUUCAAUCCACCGUAGAUAGGUAAAGGCAUCUCAUAGCACUUUAUUUCGAGUCGUUCCGCUGUUAAAGGUCGAGUCAUCAUAAUGUAAAUUGUUAUGAAAUUAGACAAUUGUGUCAAUCCAAAUGUACAUUUGAAGAUUAUAAUUUUUGAUGUAUUAUCUUUUAUGAUUAUGUGGAAUAAAGGUUUAUUUAAUU